GCGCACGCUGGCGGCAGGCUUAACACAUGCAAGUCGAGCGGGCACCUUUCGGGGUGUCAGCGGCGGACGGGUGAGUAACGCGUGGGAACGUGCCCUCUGGUUCGGAAUAACUCAGGGAAACUUGAGCUAAUACCGGAUACGCCCUUUUGGGGAAAGGCUUGCUGCCGGAGGAUCGGCCCGCGUCUGAUUAGCUAGUUGGUGAGGUAACGGCUCACCAAGGCGACGAUCAGUAGCUGGUCUGAGAGGAUGAUCAGCCACACUGGGACUGAGACACGGCCCAGACUCCUACGGGAGGCAGCAGUGGGGAAUAUUGGACAAUGGGCGCAAGCCUGAUCCAGCCAUGCCGCGUGAGUGAUGAAGGCCUUAGGGUUGUAAAGCUCUUUUAUCCGGGACGAUAAUGACGGUACCGGAGGAAUAAGCCCCGGCUAACUUCGUG
rnacentral:rRNA from 1 species